UUCAGUUGCUUAUGUUUCAAAUAUAAAUAAAUAAAAUUCAAUCAAGAAACUUUAAAUAGAAAAAAAUACAACACAUACAAAAAAAAAUUCAGAAUUGCUGUCAUUUAAAUUCAACACAAUUCAAUCUCAAUGUUUUUCGCCCUCGACGCACAAAGCUACCAAAAUUUACAACGCACCAAAAAAAAAAGCGCAAAUUUUAUUCCAGCAAAAAAAAACAACCUAUUCCAUAAACCAGCUUCCAGAAUUCCUUUAAUCUUAUCCACCACUCUUUUUACUGCUUGUCCGCUCCAUUUGCUAUCAAAAAUUAUUGGACUUCUGUUACCCGGUUGAUGUUAUGGCACAUCGCGUAACCGUAACACAAGAAGACACAACACACAAUUCUCCUGGAUCUCUCUGGCUUUGGAUAUAUGCAUAGCCCACGCAACAAUGAAAACCAUUCCACGUAAAUAUUUACAACUAUAACCGUGUUAUAGAAAUUUACAGUAGAAGGGGGCAAUAGAAUGGUAUAGAAGAGGAUUUAGCUGGGCUGAACAAAAGAAGUCGCACAGGAGUAUCCUUCUUUCGAAAGGAUCACCAGCAUCGUGUUUGGUAUUAUAUCCUUGUCUUAUCAGCGUUAGUCAAAUGCGUGGUUAAAUGUCGGCCCAUGUUAGCAAAAGGUGAAAUACACUCUGUGAGUUAACGAAGGAUGUUAUAAGGUCGCGGGACACGCAACACAAUCUCUGGGGACCAUCCGGCGGUGGUAGGUAAUAUCGUAAGGAAUCCUUAUAUUGCUCUGGAAUAAUACACUCUUUUUUCAAUGCAAACACAGAACUAAAAAAAAAAAAAACAAAAACAAGCGGAAAAGGAAAUAAAUGUUAUGAGCGCACACCGUUUUGCUUAGCUUUUGUUUUUCUAAUGGAAUUUAUUAAACGUGGAAGCGAUUCUAUUACAUAUUUUGUUUAGUAUCAGAAACCUGCAGGAUACAGGAUUAAAGGACGAAAAGGGUUCAAUUGGAUGUUAUAGAAGGAAAUCUGGACAACAACCGCUAGGCAAGGUUGCUUUAGCACGGAGUAGCUCGUCGGAGGAGGUCUUAAGGAACAUCGGAUUAAUAUCAUAAUUUGUGCAACUUGUUUCAAGUAAAAUGGAACUUUUGCUUGGAAAAUUCACAGAAAAUAUUAUGA